GGAGUCUGGGCCGUGUCUCAGUCCCAAUGUGGCCGUUCAUCCUCUCAGACCGGCUACCGAUCGUCGCCUUGGUAGGCCGUUACCCCGCCAACUGGCUAAUCGGACGCGAGCCCACCCCAAACCGGUUUGCACCUUUUACCCCUGGGCCAUGUGACCCUGUGGUCUUAUGCGGUAUUAGCACCUGUUUCCAAGUGUUAUCCCCCUGUCUGGGACAGGUUGCUCACGCGUUACUCACCCGUCCGCCACUAGAAUAUAUCCGAAUCCUGCCGAAGCUCUCAUCUAACAUAUCCCCGUUCGACUUGCAUGUGUUAAGCACGCCGCCAGCGUUCGUC
rnacentral:rRNA from 1 species